rnacentral:rRNA from 1 species
CUGGCUCAGGAUGAACGCUGGCGGCGUGCCUAACACAUGCAAGUCGAACGGAGAUUUAACGCUGAUGAGGCUUCGGCGGAUUCUUGUUAAAUCUUAGUGGCGGACGGGUGAGUAACGCGUGGGCAACCUGCCUCAUACUGGGGGAUAACAGCUGG